CUAUCCUAGAAAUUAAAGUAUAAUAAAACAUAUAUAUAUUUAAAAUAAAAAUAAAAAGUAAAAUCUUAAUGUGAUCGAGUGAUUUUCCCUAAGACAUACACUUCACAGGGAACAGCAUAAGACAAUGCAAGGAAAGAGACAGAGAGACACAGAGAGAGAGAGAGAGAGAAAUGAGAGAAUGACCUUAUUCAUGAGAACAAUAUAAAAUACCUAAGAUCAAAUAGCAAGAAAUGCACAGGAUUCAGUUGAAGAAGAAUGAUCAAACUUUGAUGCAGAAUAUGCACUGAAAUGUAUAUACAUGUAAAUUUUUGCACAGGAAAUUGCAAUAUUCAAAUAGGACUAAUUUUCCAGGUGUUCUGGUGAAAAUUGCACCACAGUCCCCUCUUCAUGUCUGAUUUCAGCUUUGCUCAUUCACAAACUCUUAUUUUUCUAUUUGUCAUUCCAUUUCCACAGUUUUGUUGUUUAUUGUCAUCUCUUCUUUCAUUCUCUUCAUCCUUGGGUAUUAAUUUCCUCUGUGCUUCUUUAUUUUAAUUUUACUGGGACAUUAGGAAAGAGCAGAAAUCAGUCCAUGUUUAUGUGUUCAAUGCAUUGUGCAUUCCAAUACCCUUAGUAGAGAGACAAAUUCCUUAUCACAGUCUAUAGCAGGUUCUACAGAUGAUCUUUCUGUUUAUGUCUCUUUCUAUUUAAGUGUAUUCAAGUGACUUUACAAGGCAGACUGCUAUUACCUGUGUUCCUAAUUUUAUCGGAAGAAUCUGCUGCUGUCUUUUCUUCCCUGGCUGCAUUAGAUGUAACAGGACCAUGAGUUGAUAAUCACAUGGUUAUUUUUUACAAUGUUAUUGAAUAAACAUCUAGCAACAAUUUUAAAUGAUGAAUACAUUUUUAUACUCUAAUAGUCUAACAAAUAUAAUUUUUUAAUAACAAAUGUCCAUUGUUUCAAGUCUGUUACUUAUCCACCUUUAGAACUGCCAAAGCAAAUCUCUCCAUACUAUUAAAAGAAUCUUUUGUGCCUUUUAGUAAGCAGACAUCAUCAGAAACAGAAGUUUAUGAUAUGAUACAUAAAGAGUUUGAAUUUAUCUCACAUUUUUACUAACCUUAUUUUUUAGCUAAACUUGGUCUAUAUUCACAUUUUCUUGACUGAAAUAUGCCUUUGUACAUUUUUAUUGAGCAAUUAAAGGCUCAUUUAACCAGUCAUCCUAACAACAUGGACAUAUGGCUUUUGUCAGAUUGGAAUGAUCUACAAAGCUUAUGAGGCUUGACCUUUGGGGUCUUUCAUGUGCACAGGCCCUUUUCAAGACCCUGUUUUGAGUGAACAGAAUAAAAAGAGAUGUAAAAGCUUCAGGAACUAGCAGUGGUCUUCUUUAUGCCAACUCCUUUACUCAAGCCUUUAUGUAUUUUUCUGUCUUCCACUGACCCAUGGGGACCAUAAGAUUUCAAGAACUUCUCCUCCCUAAAACAAACUCCAAUCAUUUGAGGGAUAUCUGAUUUUUUUUCUGAAAAGAAGACUUGAGAAUACCUAUAGAAGCAAGUUUCUAAAUAAUCUGAUUUUUAUGUCUACAAAUAAUAGCUAUCUUCCAGCACUGCUGUAAAUGUAAUGUGGGAUUGCAGAUUGUACAUGGAAGAAUCUGAAAAAUGUACUUUAGUGGCUAAACUGAAGGGCCUAUUGAUAUGAGGUAUGGCUUUAAAUUCUUGCUCUUCUACUAGUUUUUCCUCUGCAGAACAUACUCCCUGCAGAAUGGUGCCUUCCCUUAGUAUUUGUAGUGUUUCUACCUCUCAGCAUGGAACAAAUGGUCAAUGUUAGCAAUGGGUUCUUUCCUUUACAACUCACGAUGUGGUAAGGAAAAUUCUCAUGUUUGUUUCUGUCUUUUCACCUUUGCAUUCAUAAUAUAAUCAUCUUAAAUACAUAUCUACAGGCACUUAGCACCACAGUAAGUUUUAUAAUUUUUGCUUCAACACAAAUGUAUUGUCUUUCAGUUUUGCAGCUCAGAAAUCAGUACUGGGUCUCACUGGGUUGAGUCCAUGUGUCAUGGAUGGAAUUCCUUUCUGGAGGUUCUAGAGAAGAAUCUCAUUUUCUUGCCACAUUACCUGUCUUUCUUCCAUCUUCAAAGCUAGCAAUACCAGUUGAGCCUUUUGAAACUCAUGCAGAAAACUUGAGAAGAAAAGGAAGAUAUUUUUGUUAAUUUACUUUUUUCUCACUUUGUUUCUUUUAUUCUACAUUCUUGAAUUUCCAGAAAUUCCUUUUCUAUCCUUUCUUUUAGUUGAGAAAGUUCCAUCGAGCCAUUUUUAAAAGAUUAGUUUGUUGGAAACAAAUUCUUUUAGGUUUCCUUCUUUUCUUUCUUCUGAGAAUACCUGAAUUUCCUUUUUAUUAUGGAAGGACAGUUUUAUUGGACAUAAACAUCUGGUUUGCAAUUUUUUUUCCUUCAGCACUUUAAAUAUUUGAGUUACAUUCUUCUUCAUUUCCUGGUUUCUGAUAUUAACUCUAUGGUUAUCCACAUUGUGUUUUUCCUAUAAUUAUGAUGCCAUUUCUUGCUUGCUUUUUAAAAAAUAUUUUAUUUGUUUUAUUUUUCAGAAAUUUGACUAUGGUGUUGCUGGGCAUGUGUUUCCUUGUGUAUAUUAUGAUUGGAAUUUUCCCACCUUCUUGCAUUUGAACCGCAGAGUUUAACAUUUGUUUCUUAGAUGCUAUCCCCGUAGCCAGGCAGCCCUGCUGUCUUCUGACUGGGGAUUUACAGAAUGCAGGAAAAUGAGGCAGAGGUAGAAAGAGUGACUAUACACCUAGCAUGCUGGCUCAUGACUGUAAUCCCACUACUUUUGGAGGCUGAGGUUGGAGGACUAUUGAUGCCAGGAAUUCAAGAUCAGCCUGAGCAAUGCAGUGAGACGUCCCCAUGUAUAUAAGAAAAUGUACAAAAUCAACCUUGCAUGGUGAUUGGCACCUGUAGUCCCAUCUAAUUCAGAAGGUGAUCUGGAAGAAUUGUUUGAUCCCAGGAGUUCAAGACUGCAGUGAGCCAUGAUUGCACCACUGUACUCCAGCUUAAGAGACAGAGCAAGUCCCUGUCUCUAAAAAGAAAUAAUACUAAUAAUAACAUUAAUAAUAAUAAAUGACUGCUGCAACUGAAAAGGUUUUUUUCCCCCACCUUGGCUUCUAGCCCCAGGGUCUACUUCCUUUCAAAUGCAUCUCCAAUGUCUAUGGAUUCUACAGACUUGCAGUCUCUUCCUUUCUUUCCCCUCAUGUGCCACUGUGGCUCUAUCCUGUAUCCUCAGCAAGCCUUCCCACACUCCGACAAAAUCAAGUACAAUGGUGAACUGAGCAAGUAUGGGCAAUAGAGCUAUAAAUAUUUAUGUUUCUACCCUCCUUGAUAUUUUUACAAUAUUUGGAGAUGGGUAUGUAGGGCCUUUAGUCCUUCUUGGGCCAGGGUCAUCUCAGCCUUAAAGGAACUGAAAUCAGAGUAGAGGAAAAGAAGUGAUAAGACAGAUGUGAACAAAGCAUCUUCAUGCAAGUAAGCAAGAUACAUUUACUGGCUAAUUCAAGCAUUGUAACCGCAGCCUAAGACUCAAAUGAAUAAACACUGAAUUUGAAGUCCCCCCAAAGGUGUGCAACAGCUUUGGGGGAUUUUUAACACUUUACCUCCUGUUAUCUGUGGAAUGGAGCAAAAACUAAGUGUUACAUGGGAAGUUGGUUUCAAUUAUACCACCUGGUACUCAGUUUACAACCAUUUCCUAAUCCUACUUCUUAAUGAGCUAUAUAAAAGGAAAAGAUUUAUUGACCACUUGUCAUACAUUUUGGUCAAUGUGCCAGCUAUUGAUAUGUGUUUUUUACAUUAUUAACUGAAGAAAAAUGAAUGCCUUUUACAAAUGUUAUAAGAUUACAAAACAAAAAGAAAUCCAAAGGAAACAAAUUAGGGUUGUAAUGUGCAAGCCUAAUGAUUUUCCAUCAGAACUCUCAUAUAAUUGCCCUGUUUGAUAAGAUAAAUGAGCAGGAGCAAGGUUGUGGUGAAGGACUCUGCUGAAGCUUUCCCAGGGAUUCCUAUACUAAAGCUUUGGCUUUCUCAAAGUAUUCUCAGAAUAAGCAGUUAUUGUCAUUCUCCAGAAAGUCAACCAGCAAAAUGACUUGAGCUUUCCAAUAAACUCUUGCCAUGA
rnacentral:lncRNA from 1 species